GGCAAGGUGGCCGAGCGGUCCAAGGCGCCAGGUUCAGGAUCACCUGGAUUUAGGAUCUCGCAAGAAGAUUUCCUGGUCUCAGAAAUGGGGCGUGAGUUCGAAUCUCACCCUUGUCA
rfam:Myceliophthora thermophila ATCC 42464 chromosome 6, complete sequence.